AAAAAAAACAAAAAAAAAAUAAAAAAUGAUUUAAUUUCAAAGAAAAAUAAUAAAAAAUCUUAAAGAAAUAUAAAAAUAAACCUUUAAAAAAAUUAUAAAUAGAAAAUUUAAUAUAAUCCUAAUUAAAAUUCUAUUUAAACCUUAAUAAAAUCCUAAGUCAAAUCCUAAUUGAAAUCUUAAUUGAAGCUUAAUAAAAUCUUAAGGUAAAUUUUAAUGAAAUCUUAGAUAAAUCAUAAUCAAAUUCUAUCUAAGUUUUAAAUCAAAUCCUAAUCUCAAAUUAAUCCUAAACCAAAUCUUAAGCCCUAAUCAAAUCAAAGACAAAUCCUAAACCAAAUCUUAAGCCUUAACCAAAUUAAAGACAAAUCCUAAACCAAAUCUUAAUUAAAUUCUAGAUCUUAAAAAAACUCUUAAUAAAACUUAAAGCAAAAUAGAACC
rnacentral:lncRNA from 1 species